AUGGGGAGCUCGUGCGUGAACCUCUCCCGCGCCGUCGCGGCCGCGAGGCGCCCGGGCUUCGCCACCGCCGGUGGCGCCGGCGGCCACGGGAGGAGCGUGGUUGCAUUGUCGUCGUCGUCGUCGUCGAGGAGGCGCACCGCGGCUGACGGUGGCGUGUCGUGCGGCAUCGCCAACGGGUACCUGGGCGGCUCCUCGGGCGGGUCGCGGCCGCCUUCCUUGCCGGUGCACGGCAAGAGCUCCGGGCCCGGUUCGGCGCGGGAGGCGGGUGGUGAUCACGAUCGCGCUGACGGGCUCGGGAUCCAGGAGUUCCUUGGCGGCAAGAACUUCCUCAUCACCGGCGGGACCGGCUUCCUAGCAAAAGUUCUGAUCGAGAAAAUCUUGAGGACGAACCCUGACGUGGGCAAGAUGUACGUGCUGAUCAAGGCCAAGGACAGCGAGACGGCACUGCAGAGACUGCAAAAUGAGGUGGUAGACACGGAGCUGUUCAAGCGCCUGCAGGAGAUCCACGGGGACGACUACCACGGAUUCAUAACCAGGAAGCUUGUCCCCGUAGUUGGCGACGUCCGGGAGGCCAACAUCGGCAUUGCCCCCGAGCUGGCCGAUGAGAUCGCGGAGCGGGUGGACAUCAUCGUCAACUCCGCCGCCAACACCACCUUCGACGAGAGGUAUGAUGUUGCCAUGGACAUCAACACCGUGGGGCCGUUCCGGAUAAUGAGCUUCGCGCAUCGGUUUCGAAGGCUGAAGCUCUUCCUGCAAGUGUCGACAGCGUAUGUGAACGGGCAAAGGCAGGGUGUCGUGCUGGAGAAGCCAUUUCAGUUGGGUGACACCAUAGGGAAAGAGUCAGCUGGAUCCUCGGAUUCUUCGGAGCAGCACAAGAACGCCGUGCUGGACAUCGAGGCGGAGAUCAAGCUGGCCUUCGACUCGAGAAGGCGACCCGACGAUGACUCGGCUUCUUUCUCUCAGGAGAUGAAGGAUCUAGGGCUAGAGAGAGCGAAGCUCCAUGGGUGGCAAGACACCUAUGUGUUCACCAAGGCCAUGGGGGAGAUGGUGAUCAACAGCAUGCGAGGGGAGAUCCCCGUGGUCACCAUCAGGCCCAGCGUCAUUGAGAGCACCUGGAGAGACCCCUUCCCGGGCUGGAUGGAAGGGAACAGGAUGAUGGACCCUGUCGUCCUCUACUACGGCAAAGGCCAGCUGAGCGGGUUCCUCGCCGAUCCGGCCGGAGUCCUAGACGUGGUUCCGGCGGACAUGGUGGUGAACGCGACGCUGGCGACGAUGGCGAAGCACGGGCGGGCGGCGGAGGGGGGAAUGCACGUGUACCACGUGGCCUCGUCGACGGUGAACCCGCUGGUGUUCGGCGACCUGAGCCGGUUCCUGUUCCAGCACUUCACGCGGAGCCCCUACAGCGAUGCGGCGGGGCAGCCCAUCGCCGUGCCGCCCAUGCGCCUCUUCGACACCAUGGAGCAGUUCGCCAGCUACGUCGAGACGGACGCGCUGCUGCGGAGCGCCAGGGCCGGCGUCCCCGCCGGCGAGCGCCUCUCCCAGCGCCUCCAGGAGCUCUGCGCCAAGUCCGUCGAGCAGACCAUCCACCUCGGCAGCAUCUACCAGCCCUACACCUUCUACACCGGCAGGUUCGACAAUGGCAACACGGAGGAGCUCAUGGCAGAGAUGUCGACAGAGGAGAAGGCGGUGUUCCACUUCGACGUGAGGAGCAUCGACUGGACGGAUUACAUCACCAACGUCCACAUCCCAGGGCUCAGGAAGCACGUCAUGAAAGGGAGGGGCAUCGCUGCGGAAUCGCCACCCUCCACGGUGCUCGCCGCCACCUCCACCUCCACGGAGUGA
rnacentral:rRNA from 1 species